rnacentral:lncRNA from 1 species
AGCUGACAUAUUUUGCAUCAUCUAACAACUGCAGCAAGUGUUGCAGCUCUGUUCUGGAGCCUCUUUCCUGUAUUUGCAUCAUGUGUCUUUUCCUAUAUACAAGUGUGGCAUCAACAACAGACUCUGGAUUUUGAUCUUUCAAAUCUAAAACAAUGUGUCUUGGUGCUACUUUACGCUUUGUCAAAUCUUGAACACGUUUGUUUUCAUCUGCGGUUAAAUGUGCCUUGCGAGGAUGACCAUGAU